rnacentral:rRNA from 1 species
UUGAACUAAGAAUAUAAGGGUUGAGCUUUAUAUUCAAUAAUUGAUAAAAGAUGAAUGAAUAAAUAAUUAUUUAUAAAAUUAGGCUUUUUAGUGGCCAUAUUUAUAAAGUGUUUUAACUAAUAAAAUAUAUUUUUUUUUAUUUUUAUUUUCUCUUAAAAAAUUAUUAGGAUAUAUUUAUAUUAAAAAUAGAUUAGUAAUAAUGAAAAUAUUAGUAGAAAAGAAAAUAUUAAAAUUUUAAAUAAUUAAUUUAGAAAAAUAUUUUUUAAUAAAAUAUAAAGAAAAAUUAAAGGAAUUCGGCAAAUUUUUUUCCUUGCCUGUUUAACAAAAACAUGUCUGUAUGAAGUUAUAUAAAGUCUGACCUGCCCGUUGAAGAAAUUUGAAAGGCCGCGGUAUAUUAACUGUGCAAAGGUAGCAUAAUCAUUAGUUUUUUAAUUGAAGGCUUGUAUGAAUGGUCUGACAAAGGAAAAGCUGUCUUUAGUUUUAAUUUUGAAUUUAACUUUUAAGUGAAAAGGCUUAAAUAAUUUUAAGGGACGAUAAGACCCUAUAAAUCUUUAUAUUAGAAUAUUAUCUUGAAAUUUAAUAGUUAGUUUGAAUUUAACAAGAAAAUAAUAAAUAUUUUGUUGGGGUGAUGAGAAUAUAAAAAUAACUGUUCUUAAAAAAAACAAAGUUGUUUGAAAAUAAUUUAUAGAUCCUUUUUUGAAGAUUAAAAGUUUAAGUUACUUUAGGGAUAACAGCGUUAUUUUUUUUGAGAGUUCUUAUCGAAAAAAAAGUUUGCGACCUCGAUGUUGAAUUAAAAUUUCUUUACGGUGUAGAAGUUGUAAAAGAGAGUCUGUUCGACUUUUGAAAUUUU